rnacentral:rRNA from 1 species
UACAGAGGUCCCGAGCGUUGUUCGGAUUCAUUGGGCGUAAAGGGUGCGUAGGCGGCGGGGAAAGUCUGAUGUGAAAUCCUGGGGCUCAACCCUGGAACUGCAUUGGAUACUUCCUUGCUAGAGUACUGGAGAGGAAACUGGAAUUUACGGUGUAGCAGUGAAAUGCGUAGAGAUCGUAAGGAAGACCAGUGGCGAAGGCGAGUUUCUGGACAGUUACUGACGGCUGAGCACGAAGGCCAGGGGAGCAAACGGG